rnacentral:rRNA from 1 species
CCUACGGGGGGCAGCAGUGGGGAAUAUUGCACAAUGGGGGAAACCCUGAUGCAGCGACGCCGCGUGAGUGAAGAAGUCUUUCGUGAUGUAAAGCUCUAUCAGCAGGGAAGAAAAUGACGGUACCUGAUUAAGAAGCCCCGGCUAACUACGUGCCAGCAGCCGCGGUAAUACGUAGGGGGCAAGCGUUAUCCGGAUUUACUGGGUGUAAAGGGAGCGUAGACGGUAGUGCAAGUCUGGAGUGAAAGCCCGGGGCCCAACCCCGGAACUGCUCUGGAAACUGUGUGGCUGGAGUGCAGGAGAGGUAGGUGGAAUUCCUAGUGUAGCGGUGAAAUGCGUAGAUAUUAGGAGGAACACCAGUGGCGAAGGCGGCUUACUGGACAGUAACUGACGUUGAGGCUCGAAAGCGUGGGGAGCAAACAGGAUUAGAUACCCUGGUAGUC